rnacentral:misc_RNA from 1 species
AGUUACAGGCUCAGCAGAGAGGUAGAGAUAGGAAGAGAGCGAAAGCAAGGGGGGCGGGGGGGAGUGGGUGUGGGGGUGGGAUUGUGAAGGCUUGGUACUAAUUUACCCUGGUAUGUGAAGUACCAGAUGCAUGUAGACAAAAUCUGCAAUAGAAAGGUUUUGUUCUGAAAGAAUGAAUUUUGUUGGAGAGCAAUGGGUUUGAGACGUUAACCAAGU